CAGUAGCCGCGGGAAUACAGAGGGUGCGAGCGUUAAUCGGAUUUACUGGGCGUAAAGCGUGCGUAGGCGGCUUUUUAAGUCGGAUGUGAAAUCCCUGAGCUUAACUUAGGAAUUGCAUUCGAUACUGGGAAGCUAGAGUAUGGGAGAGGAUGGUAGAAUUCCAGGUGUAGCGGUGAAAUGCGUAGAGAUCUGGAGGAAUACCGAUGGCGAAGGCAGCCAUCUGGCCUAAUACUGACGCUGAGGUACGAAAGCAUGGGGAGCAAACAGGAUUAGAUACCCCCGUAGCCCCUGUCUCUUAUAC
rnacentral:rRNA from 1 species